CAAAGUUGUGUAACAAAAGAAAAUAACCUAAAACUAUAUAUAUCUCUAUCUAUGCAUGCGGCCCUAGGCCGCCUAAUCAAAACAUCAUGGGCUUCGGCCCCUUUCAACUAAUUAAAUCCAAACUUAAAAUAAAACAAGAGUUUUGGGCUUCAUAAAAAUAUAACAAGUAAUUAAAAGCCCAAUCUCUAAUUAUCUUCCAUCUUCACUUCAAAUUUCCAUCGAAAGCUCGUCUUUCUCCAAUUCUUUCCAUCAACAGCUCCAUCUCCAAUCCUGCUCAUUCCUGCGCCAAAACAUUGCAAACUAUGCAAAAUCACAUGAAAUCACGACGAAACACACACUAAACUAAGUAGCUAAAAUACACACAUCAAAUCCCCUCACACUUAGAUCAUACUUGUCCUCAAGUAUGAAAUAAGAGAAGAAUUAAUGGUGAAAUUCAGCCACUAGAAGCAACUCCCUUCCUUGACACGAAGACUCUAGAAAUGAACGAAAGGAAACAGACACCACAAACAUGCACACAAAGAUAGAAAAUAAAAAAGAAAACGAGACAAGACACGGACAAACCAAACGACUAACUCAACAGACAACUGCAGCCAAGAAUCAUCA
rnacentral:lncRNA from 1 species